UACGUAGGUGGCAAGCGUUGUCCGGAUUUACUGGGCGUAAAGAGCGCGCAGGCGGUCGUGCAAGUCGCGUGUGAAAGCCCCCGGCUCAACUGGGGAGGGUCACGCGAUACUGCUCGACUCGAAGGCAGGAGAGGGAAGUGGAAUUCCCGGUGUAGUGGUGAAAUGCGUAGAUAUCGGGAGGAACACCAGUGGCGAAGGCGACCUCCUGGCCUGUUCUUGACGCUGAGGCGCGAAAGCUAGGGUAGCAAACGGG
rnacentral:rRNA from 1 species